UACGAAGGGUGCUAGCGUUGUUCGGAAUCACUGGGCGUAAAGCGCGCGUAGGCGGCUUUACAAGUCAGAGGUGAAAUCCCACGGCUCAACCGUGGAACUGCCUUUGAAACUGUAAAGCUGGAGUGUCGGAGGGGAUGGCGGAAUUGCUAAUGUAGAGGUGAAAUUCGUAGAUAUUAGCAGGAACACCGGUGGCGAAGGCGGCCAUCUGGACGACAACUGACGCUGAGGCGCGAAAGCGUGGGGAUCAAACAGG
rnacentral:rRNA from 1 species